AGAUAUCCCAAGGAUACACAUCUCCGUACAAUGAGAGAGGGUGGCGAAAUUUUGUCGCUAAGCAAACGGGAAGAAAAUAGAAGUAUCCCCGGUACUAUGGCUAAUUAUGUGUAUUUUAAGUUUUUGGCCAGCUCACUAGAUGGAAUAAACGGGCAGAAGAGGAACUGGAACUGGAAUGGGCCCACUUCGCACACAAUGCGACAACGUCGGCGAUGAGUUGCAUAAUUAAAAACUUUACAUUCUUCUAUUUAAGUUGCCGUGCGUAAAGAAAAGAUACAAAAUUAUGUACCCCACUCGCUACAUUUUCCGCCGAUUCCAUUUUCCUUUUUGCUAAGCAAAUAAUUGAGAGCGAGACUGGGGGUGGUGAAAAGUUGGCUUAGAGGGAAAACAUCUUUAAGUUGGCCAAGGCAAAUAAUGGCGAACGGAGGCUGGGCGGAGGCCACAAAGGACCUUUUAACGCUGCUGCAGAGCACAAAUGCAGGAAACAGGAUAUUGGAUCAUUUAGCAUUAAGGCGGCGUCGCCUACCGACCCAGUCACACCCCUAAUAUUCCACCGCCCUCUUUGUCCUGUUUCAAUGCGAAACAAGUUAAGCGCAGCGCGAACAAUAAAAAGGGAGCAGGAUUCAGGGAUCCAAGGACUCGAGGAGCAGGAGCAGGAGCAGAAGCAAAGGCAUUGGCAAAGGACACGGACGGAACGCGUUACGCUUUAAUAACUUGCCGCAGGAUUAAGUCCUGUGCAAUGAGAUGAUAAUGCGCCGUGGCUUUCGCAGCGGGGAUUCCCCAUUCUUCCCUUUGUAGGCGCCGUGUUUGCGGCUUGUGACUCUCUGAGGAUAAUGUUGAUUAUGCUUGGGCGUAUCAUAAAAGUGUAGCCAUCACCCAAUCUUUGUGGCCGCCCCCUUCCUGCAAACCAUCGAGCCAAACAAAUUAUAUUACAAAAUGAUUUUCCCGCCACCCAUCACUUCCGCGUUGCAUAUUAGGAUCCCACCAGUGCCUUCCUCCUGACAUGGUUAUCUGGCUUCAUCCAGGGCUUGGCAUGGGCCCAAAUUUAUUGGCCAAUAAUGACGAUGGAAGAAUUUGCGAUGGGGAAUUUGGGGACAU
ensembl:ncRNA lncRNA:CR45749 long non-coding RNA:CR45749